rfam:Geoalkalibacter ferrihydriticus DSM 17813 scaffold2, whole genome shotgun sequence.
GGGGGUGCCCAGGUUUCGACGGGGAUUGGAAGCGAAGGUUGCAUGCCGGGGACGCCAGUUGGCCUCGUUAAAAAACUGGCACACAUACAAACGCCGACAACGACGUUUCGUACGCACUGGCAGCUUAAUUGCUGUCACGUCUCUUCUCUCAUCGCCCAUGUGGGUUUAGAGACGUCAAUUUAGUGGGAUAGCCGAAGCAAGUGUCUGUGGUGCCGAGGCGAAACCAAAGCAGACUCGCCGCUUACUUAUCCUGUCCAUGGGAGCCGUAACCGGUUAAAUUCAAUACAUGGACUAAGCAUGUAGAAGCCUUACGUGAAAGAUUUUCGGACGCGGGUUCGAUUCCCGCCACCUCCACCA